UACGUAGGGGGCUAGCGUUGUCCGGAAUCAUUGGGCGUAAAGCGCGUGUAGGCGGUCCGGUAAGUCCGCUGUGAAAGUCGGGGGCUCAACCCUCGGAAGCCGGUGGAUACUGUCGGGCUCGAGUCCGGAAGAGGAGUGUGGAAUUCCUGGUGUAGCGGUGAAAUGCGCAGAUAUCAGGAGGAACACCAAUGGCGAAGGCAGCACUCUGGGACGUGACUGACGCUGAGACGCGAAAGCGUGGGGAGCAAACAGG
rnacentral:rRNA from 1 species